rnacentral:rRNA from 1 species
GACGAACGCUGGCGGCGUGCUUAACACAUGCAAGUCGAACGGAGUGGCGAACGGGUGAGUAACAAGUGGGUGACCUGCUCUGCACUUCGGGAUAAGCCUGGGAAAAUGGGUCUAAUACCGGAUAGUGUGGGAUGGGCCCGCGUCCUAUCAGCUUGUUGGUGGGGUAAUGGCCUACCAAGGAGGCGACGGGUAGCCGGCCUGAGAGGGUGGACGGCCACAUGGGGACUGAGACACGGACCAGACUCCUACGGGGGGCAGCAGUGGGAAAUAUGGCACACUGUGCGGAAGCCUGAUGCAGCGACGCCGCGUGGGGGAUGACGGCCUGCGGGUUGUAAACUCCUUUCACCAUCGACGCGGUAGAUGGAGAAGAAGCACCGGCUAACUACGUGCCAGCAGCCGCGGUAAUUC